rnacentral:misc_RNA from 1 species
GAUGAAGAACGUAGUGAAAUGCGAUAAGUAAUGUGAAUUGCAGAAUUCAGUGAAUCAUCGAAUCUUUGAACGCACAUUGCGCCCGCUAGUAUUCUGGCGGGCAUGCCUGUCCGAGCGUCAUUUCAACCCUCAAGCCCCCGGGCUUGGUGUUGGGGAUCGGCGAGCCUCCGCGCCCGCCGUCCCCUAAAUCUAGUGGCGGUCUCGCUGUAGCUUCCUCUGCGUAGUAGCACACCUCGCACUGGGAAACAGCGCGGCCACGCCGUUAAACCCCCAACUUCUGAACGUUUGACCUCGGAUCAGGUAGGAAUACCCGCUGAACUUAAGCAUAUCAAUAAGCGGAGGGA